UACAGAGGGGGCAAGCGUUGUUCGGAAUUACUGGGCGUAAAGGGCGCGUAGGCGGCCUUCUAAGUCGAACGUGAAAUCCCCGGGCUCAACCCGGGAACUGCGUCCGAUACUGGAAGGCUUGAAUCCGGGAGAGGGAUGCGGAAUUCCAGGUGUGGCGGUGAAAUGCGUAGAUAUCUGGAGGAACACCGGUGGCGAAGGCGGCAUCCUGGACCGGUAUUGACGCUGAGGCGCGAAAGCCAGGGGAGCAAACGGG
rnacentral:rRNA from 1 species